CAAGUGUUGAUUGAAGAAAUGUUAGCACCAUACUCUACAGGUUUGCAGCAGUGAGCCUAUGAAUUACAAGCUCUUAUUAGGUUGGAUAAACAAGUUGGCUAUGAUGCCACAAGAUACAAGUUGUGAAGUUCACAUUUGAAAACUAUGGAUUUGCAAGGAACAAAACUGUGGAUUUUGAAGAAGAGCGAUGGGUUCUUCCCAUAAGUAUAACUGUCAAUACUUACUUUGAUCUCAAUCAGUCCUUUCUAAUGGCCUUGUGAUUUUACUUGUAUUAGAUACUUUCACGUUACAUUAUUAUUGUGACUUUUGAGUAUCUAUAUAACACUACAAUUAAUAUAUAUGUUGUGAUUUGACUUAUUAUGUUUUUA